rnacentral:rRNA from 1 species
AGUCUUAUGUGUUAUAUAUAAGAUGCAUUCUGCCCAUUGAAGAUAUUUUUAACGGCCGCAGUACCUUGACUGUGCUAAGGUAGCAUAAUAAUUUGGCUUUUAAAUGGAGUCUAGAAUGAAAGGGAAUAUGGAGGGGGACUGUCUUUUAAUAGCUAUUUCUAACUUAUUUAUAAAGUGAAAAUACUUUAAAUUAAAGAAAAAAGACGAGAAGACCCUAUGAAUUUUCACUAUAGAUACAUAAUAUGUACAAAUGUUUUUGUUGGGGCGACAGAUAAGCAGCGUUUAACCUAAUUUAUUUAACACACCGAGUAAUUUAUAAAAGAUUAAAUUACCUUAGGGAUAACAGCAUAAUUUAUUUUUAAGAUUAUGACCUCGAUGUUGGACUAGGGACUUUAUAGUAAGUAACUAAAAAAGAAGGUUCUGUUCGAACUCACACCCCU